UUAUGUGGGACCUACAGGAGACCUCCUCCCUCCUGGAAGAGUAUCUGGAGAUCUGGAGGCCAGGCAGGGCAUCAAGAGCAUCCCAAAUAGUUUGUGAAGUCUACAGUUAGGCAACAGUAACGGCACAAAUGAUUCUCAUUGCCGUGCAAUGAUCCUACAGCAGAAGAUUUUUCCAGUCUAAUGUUUUAGCUAAAGACCUUUCCUCCUAUUUACCUUUCUUGCUACAUAACAUGGUCUCCCUUAUAGAAAAAAUAAGGAAAAUAAAAUGUAAGUCAAACUUCUCAUCUUCAUUCUGAGUCCAAAACACACAUGCUUCACUUCUGACCCUAGCAUUGCUUCAUAUUUUGCCCUGUGAGUCUAUUCAGAUGUCACAAUAAGACAUGCUUGAUUGGCAGGUGGGAAAACUGGCAUGCAGCAGUGUGAUUCAUCAGUCUUUUCAAAGCAUACAGAGAAGACAAUCUGCUGAUGUUUGGAUAGUUUGCAUGUUCUUAUCUCAAUGGAACUUGUUCACACAAGCCAGGUCAUCUGCGGUGAUUGCUUACUCUGUAAAGGUUACAACUGUCAGCACCACGCUGCUUUGAUGUACGAAGACUGUCACUGAGAACAGCACAAGUGGGCAGCACAUAGAUGUCCUCAGCCUCUCCUGCUGUCACAACAUCACAUCCUCAUGAUAUCACUAAGGUUUAGAGGGACCUUAUCUUGCAAGUCUUUCUCCCUGUGAACAAACAGUGAUGGAUUUUGUGGCCUGGACUGUCACCUACAACGUGAAGGAGCAGAAGGAUGUGUGGUCUCCACCUGAUCAUGUCACACAACAGCCUCAGUGUUACAGGGCUGGGUCCAACACACGUGUGCAGAUGAUGAGUUGUGGGUCUGCUGAGAAAUGUGCUGUUUUUUAAUUCAUCUGAGCAUGAGUAAGAGAGGAAGAUGUGGGAGAAGUGCAGGGUCCUCACCAUGCUGUGCCCAAGGAAGCUGACCCUACCUGGAGUCAUCAGUAGCAGACAAUAGAGACAUAAAGCUGCAAUGGUUUGGGGGGUCUGAGGUGAGAUCUCUAUGUAGCAGAUGUACUAACUUGCUUGAAGUGAAAUUUAGCACCUGUAGCACGUUGUUGCACCAUAGUUUGCCAAACUCCUUAAUGAAAAUAUCCCUGGUUAGCAGUCUGAGGAUGACCUUUUACCUGGGAUCACUGUGGCUUAUUGGCUCAUAAUCAACUAAAAUGAAAUAGUAGCAGAGUUCAGCAAGAAACAUAGACUGGAGAAGGACUUUUAGAGGUAUUCGUCUACCCGAUUGAUCUAGAUUGCACUAGAUUGCUGAGCUUGGGAAAUAAAUCUAGGACUGAAGUUGUGCUGCUUUUAAAA
rnacentral:lncRNA from 1 species